rnacentral:rRNA from 1 species
UACGAAGGGGGCUAGCGUUGCUCGGAAUCACUGGGCGUAAAGGGCGCGUAGGCGGACUUUUAAGUCGGGGGUGAAAGCCCAGGGCUCAACCCUGGAAUUGCCUUCGAUACUGAGAGUCUUGAGUUCGGAAGAGGUUGGUGGAACUGCGAGUGUAGAGGUGAAAUUCGUAGAUAUUGGGAAGAACACCGGUGGCGAAGGCGGCGACCUGGUCCGAUACUGACGCUGAGGCGCGAAAGCGUGGGGAGCAAACAGG